AAAAAAAAAAAAAAAAAAUCUCCUCUAAGCUCUCAAGGUCUGUUGUUAGACUGUUUUAUUGUCCUUGAUUUAACCCACUGAAUUCAAAAUGAGUCCCAAAAAUGUCGAGAGCGUAUACAACGCAAGCCGAUCAACAUCCACACUCAAGCGAAGAGAUCGAACUCGGUUAGAAACCUUCAAUACCAAAGGCUUACCACCAGGCCACCACUUUACGUGGUGAAAAUUGUGUUUACUUAUGGAUAAUGAAUUUGACAGUAACAAAGGAUGGCAGCUAACAAGUACUGUUGGACAUAAUACACGAUGAAUUGAAGCACAAAAUUGGUGAGGUGUUACUCUCACACAAGGCAUAUGGG
rnacentral:misc_RNA from 1 species